UACGGAGGGUGCAAGCGUUAUCCGGAUUUACUGGGUUUAAAGGGUGCGCAGGCGGUAAUUUAAGUCAGUGGUGAAAGCCUACAGCUCAACUGUAGAACUGCCAUUGAAACUGAAAUACUUGAGUGUGGUAGAGGUAGGCGGAAUACAACAUGUAGCGGUGAAAUGCAUAGAUAUGUUGUAGAACACCGAUUGCGAAGGCAGCUUACUAAACCAUUACUGACGCUCAUGCACGAAAGCGUGGGGAGCGAACAGGAUUAGAUACCCUGGUAGUCCACGCCCUAAACGAUGUUCACUCGAUAUUUGCGAUAAACUGUAAGUGUCCAAGCGAAAGCGUUAAGUGAACCACCUGGGGAGUACGAUCGCAAGGUUGAA
rnacentral:rRNA from 1 species